GUUGAAGCUUCGUCUUAAUAUGGUUAUAAUUUUUUUUCUUUUGAAAGAUCAAUAUAUUCCCUUCUUAGUCUAUAUAAACAGUAAGUAUCUUCUUAGCAUUUGCAGCCUAACACAUAAAGCCCCCACAUAAGAAGACCAAUUUUUGACUACCAAAACCAACAUUUCAACAUCAACAAUGGAUAGUGGAGGAGAUCAUACUAUUGAUAUUGAAUCAUUGAUAACAAGGAAGAUGAUUUCAGAUUAGAAGCUGUUCAAAAGAGAAGGAUAGAAAUGAGAACUUUGUUGGGCCCAGUAUACCAAAUGAAAACAAGCUUAGAAGGGAAGAUGAUUCAAUGACUGAGAAGCAGAUGCAUAAAAAGUAUAUGCACUCUACUACUGAACAUGGUCAUUUAGGUAGGAAUCAUUGAAAGGCGAGUGGAACAGAUCAAGGACAUUGUCAGAUCAUGGACAGAUCAAGAUUAAUCACAGUACAAAAAGUCAGUAACCAAAAUGAAGAAGAAGGAGAUGCAUACUUGGAAGUUGGUUCCAGCAGAAAGAUGCAACUAAACCACAGAGCUGGAAGAAUGUUGUUGGAUGCUUAUGGGAGGGAUGAUGAUAAAGAGUCUGUAGUGAAUUCAUUGUUGUUGUCAGAUAAUAAUUAUGGGAGGGAUGAUGAUAAAGAGUCUGUAGUCUAGAGUAUGCAUUACUUACUCUAGUUGUGGAAGAAAAAUUCAUUAAGGCAUUUAAGUAAAUGAAGCUAGAAAGUCUUGAAAAAAAGAUACUUUUUUGCAAUGGCAGUGGCAGAGAAUCAUAUCAUAAAAGCUCCACCAACUCACUCAACCAAUGAGAGAACAAAUUCGAAAAGUAAGAUCGACCCAUAUAAGAAAAAGCAAAACAAACAAAAACCCAACUGCCAAACAGCCAGUAAAACCACAAUGCAGAAAUCCACAAAUGAAAAUGGAAUCAGAUUCAAAGAGUGGCAGCAAAACUUUAUCGCAGAUCUACAAUGGAGAAACAACCAUAAUGAAAGAAAUAUGUAAUAUAUUUAUAUGAUUGGAUUGAA